AACACUCCUCUUAUAUACUCCCUUAUCUCACCGUUUUCCUCACUCUAUUAUACUUUUAUUAAAUUUCUUUUCUUGUUACUUGUAGUCUUUAUUAAUCUCCUUAUUUAACUUGUUAGUUUAUAAUUAAUUUUGUUGAUUUCAGCUGUAUCAUUUUUUUAAUUAAGGAAAACUUAUUUAAUUUUGGAUAUCCUCUAAUUAAUCAGGGAUAUCCUCUAAUUAAUCAGGGAAGUACUUUUUUAAUCCUGGAAAAACAUUUCACAUUGCGGAAAUAGUUUCUUAGGACAGUGUCUAUCACGACUCAAGUAAUUUAUAUAAAAUAUUAUAACCGUAAUUUUUUUUAUUUUUUUUUUUUAUUAUUAUUAUUAUUAUUAUUAUUAUUAUUAUUACCAUUAUUAUUGUUGUUGUUAUUAUUAUUAUUAUAACUUGUUGAUAUUAUAAUAUAAAAUUAUUAUCAUUAUUGCAAUUUAUUUCGCAGUUGAUAUUAAAAUUUAUUAUUAUUUUCCAACAGCUUCAAACCCACAUCUCGGGUAAAGACUUUGCAUGCAAACCGACACCACUAAGCCAAUUAUCACAUUUGCAUGUGAGUUCGCAUGUUAAAAUACAUUUAUAUUUAUUAAAUUUUCUAAUACAAGUACAGAAUCUUCGCAAAAGCUACUUGAUUCGUUCGAACCACCCUUUAAUAUUGAAACUCCGCCCCUGUAUGUACAUCUGAUUUGAUUCUUUUUCCUCAUAUGUUACACAUAGCGAUAAUAAGAAAAAUUAUUAGGUAAUUGAAUAAAGUUAUAAAAAACAAACAAUAAAAUUUUAGACAAUAUGAGGUUGGUGGACCGGACACUGAUCCGUUAUUUAACCCAUCUUUAUUCCUUUAUUUCAGUCUAAUAAUAUUUGAUAAUUAAUGAUCUGCUUAUUUUUUAAUGUAAUGUAUUUCAAUUCAAUUUGAACAUUUGACAUCCACGUAUGGGUGUAACUCUACCCUCAUGCAAAGCCCUUUUUCCGCGCAACCUUUAUAACUAUCUAUUAAGUAGUAAGAUAUAAGAGAAAAAACUUAACUGAAAACUCAUGUAUUAUCUUUGUUUUCUUAUUGUAGUCCCACUUAGCUUGUCAUAUGCUAUACUAGUGGAAAAGUGAAUUCAUCAAAAACUUUAUGUUGAGGAAUUAUUUUCUUUAUUUUUGAGUUACUGUGAUAACAUCAAAAUUUAUUGAUAGAGUAUAAAUUAUUAUUAUACUAGUAAAUUCAGAUCAUAAGGAGAAAAACACAAUAUUGUGAGAUCAUAUUGGUUAAGUGUUAAUUUUAUAAUUAUUUUGCAGAUGAACUAAAUAAGGUCUUGGCAAGAUAAAGGGUCUGAAUCACAUUGAGGAAGAUGAAGGAAGCCUAUAAAAAAUCAUGAGUCAUAUAUGAGGAAACCCAACUUGGGGACUAGAGAUCCUAUAACUAGGUUCAAUGAAAGAACGAAUCAUAUGAUGACUUGGUGUGGAUGCAUUAUUGUUUUAUCCCUUUGAGUGCAUUUUUUUCUUGUAAUGAUUUGGGAAGAUUGAGUCUAAAGAACUCUUAAUGAAAUUUUGUAUCUCUUAUGAGUGGGGUGUCGAAAUUACAGGACCACCCUUGACAGAUUUCACCUAUAUGAGUGUGGAAGUAGGUCGCUUCCCAUGAAAAUGAGGCUUAUUCUCAUAAACACUUAUAAAAAUUGGGAUAUCACAUGACCGUAAUGUGCUAGCUAUUAAAGCUUAUAUCAACACCUUAAUUGUUGUGUGUAAGCAGUAAUACUUUAUUUCUUGUAGUCAUAGUUCAAGUCUGAGAUCACUACUGACUCUGGAGUAGAGUUUAUUGUUUUACUAGGUGAAGGUUCAAUGCAGAGCACACCUUCAUUAUGCAUAAUAACCUCCCUUCAACUAAAUUGGUGAACCAUCUUAUUUAAAAAUUAAAAUGAGUGGGGUAAUGUUGGUGUUAUUAUACAUUUUAAUAUUAAAAUCUUAAUUUGCAUGAUAAUUUAUGAACAUAAAGUGGAGAAAGUAGUGUCAUUAUAUUUUGAUAACUCCCGUAAUUUCUAACACUUUAUUUGUCCAUAAUAUACCACAUUAUGUCUUGUAACUCAUAUGAUCAUUAGUUGUUGUAACUCCAUGGUCAUUAGUUGCAUGUAACAUAUGUAACAACAAGACUAUUUAUCUACCCACAAUACUCUAAUUGAUAAUAAUGGUAGAAUAUGUCCUUUAGUAAUUUGUAACUUCUCUCAAUGUUCUGUUAUAACUCGCAUGGCUAUUAGUGUCAUUAGUUUCUUGUAACUCUUGUAAACCUAAAGACUAUUGAUCUUUCCUCUUUACCACCCUUCUUUAUUCUUUCUAUUCAAUACAAGGAUGAAUACUCACCUAUAAAUGGGGGUGGUCUUGCAUGUUAUUGAAUGUACAAGAAAAUAUGAUAAGUGUGAAAAAGAUUAUAGUGUAUAGCAGAGAAAGACAGAGUUGAGAUAAAGAAAAUAUUCUAAGUCUACAACUAUAUUUACUAUUAAAAAAAGUAUUUAUAUUAGUAAAAGAAAGAGUUGAGAUAGAGAAAAUAUUCUAAGUCUUCAACUAUAUUCACUCUACAAAAGAGAGUAGUUAUAUUAUUGAAAGAGAGAGUUGAGAAAAAGAAAAAUAUUCUAAGUCUUUAACUAUAUUCAAUAUAAAAAAGUAUAGAGUUUUAUAUGUUGAAGGAAUGUGUUCUUAUGGUAGAGCUUUGUACUCUUCAACUAAUCUGGAGUUGCUUGAGUAGUACAUCGUUGAUGGGCUGUUGUAUCCUAGAGGACAAGUCAAGAAAUAUACUGUUGAAUCGGUGUAGAUUAAGUUACAGUGGACUUGAAUCUCCUUAAAGAUAACAAGAUAUUUGUGCCUCAGUGAAGAAGAAUAUUACUUCAUUUUAUAUUCAUUUUGUAUUUUCAACUGUAAUUUAAUUAUUGUGGUAUAUUAUACCAACAUAUAUUAUAUAGAUGGUAGAGAGAAACAUAUGUAGCUUAUCUACGACAUGUGGAAAUAUAAUUCCAGCCUCGGAGAACUCAACAAAACACUUGGUAGCAUGUCAAACUGAGCGGAGGAGGCAAAUUCCGACAAAGGCAAAAGCAACAAUCAUGGUUGCUGUUGUUCAGGCUGAAGCAGAAACAACAUCGGUUGCGGCUGCUGCUCAGGCUAAAGCAGUAGCAGCAGCAGCUGUGACUCAUGCUCAGGCUAAAGAAGAAGAAGCAGCAGCAACAGCUAGGGAUGCCGAGAGGAAGAGGAGAAGCAACAAGUUCAUCUUGACGGAGCUAGAAUUUCACUUAAGAGAUUCAUACUAAUAUAUUUCCUAUUUGCACGGUGUAAUUUUUCAUCAGCUAGGUGGUGUCAAUUGCCUCCACAAGGUAAUACUAAGAUUUUGUAUUCUGCUAUCUUGAAA
rnacentral:lncRNA from 1 species